ensembl:lncRNA LINC02985 long intergenic non-protein coding RNA 2985
GCUGUGGCCAUCUUUCCUUACACGUGGGGAGGAAUCAGCCUGAGAAUGAAACCAUCACAGGAAAGGGCUGAAAGACGGUGAGUGUGUGCUUUCUAAGGGCAGCAUUUGGGCCUUGGCCCCAGCCGGCCCUGAAGCCAGCACAACCCCCGGAACGUCUCAAUUUGUGAGCCAAUAAAUGCCCUUGAUGGUUUAGGCAAGUUUUCACUGGGUCUUACCCGACGUGAGCCCCCACUCCUCCAUAUGGACCUGUUUUGGACCAAUGAGGCAUCCUCUUCUGUAGUCCUCAACACGCGGAGCUCCACCACUCCUGAGCAGUGUGACCUCAGGUGGGGUUGGGGAGAGGCCUCGGGAUGGCAAGGACCAGGGUCUGCGGCCAAGCCUGUGGGUCCUGUCUCCCUCUAGGAUGCCCCUGGGACACUGGUACCCAUGGAUGCACUGGGUGACUUGAGGUCAAUGGCUUUCUCUCUCCAGACCUAGGCAGAAAAAGCAAUCUGCUUUGCAUCAGAGAACCUCAAGAGGCUCUUAAUCCUGCUCUUUUCUCCCUCUGGGCUCCCUCCGUGAUGAGCUCAUCUGACCUCCUGGCAACCCCGAAGGGUGGUUUAGAGCAGGGAAUCAGCCUCCCGAUUUACAGAAAGGAUAACUCAGGCCAGGGAAGCGACUUGGACAGGGUCCUGCAGGGACUCAGUGAAGGAGGCUUCGGAACCCAGCCUGUCUUCCAGCAGGCCAGGAAUCAGCAAAUCUGGCUACCUGUUUUUUUAUUUUUAUUUAUUUAUUUAUUUUGAGACAAAGUCUCGCUCUUGUCAUCCAGGCUGGAGUGCAAUGGCAUGAUCUCGGCUCACUGCAACCUCCGCCUCUGGGGCUCAAGCGAUUCUCCUGCCUCAGCCUCCUGAGUA